CCUACGGGAGGCUGCAGUAGGGAAUCUUCCACAAUGGGCGAAAGCCUGAUGGAGCAACGCCGCGUGGGUGAAGAAGGUCUUCGGAUCGUAAAACCCUGUUGUUAGAGAAGAAAGUGCGUGAGAGUAACUGUUCACGUUUCGACGGUAUCUAACCAGAAAGCCACGGCUAACUACGUGCCAGCAGCCGCUGUAAUACGUAGGUGGCAAGCGUUAUCCGGAUUUAUUGGGCGUAAAAGGAACGCAGGCGGUCUUUUAAGUCUGAUGUGAAAGCCGUCGGCUUAACCGGAGUAGUGCAUUGGAAACUGGGAGACUUGAGGGCAGAAGAGGAGAGUGGAACUCCAGGUGUAGCGGUGAAAUGCGGAGAUAUAUGGAAGAACACCAGUGGCGAAAGCGGCUUUCUGGUCUGUAACUGACGCUGAGGUUCGAAAGCGUGGGUAGCAAACAGGAUUAGAUACCCGGGUAGUC
rnacentral:rRNA from 1 species